rnacentral:lncRNA from 1 species
AAGAAUAAACCAACUAAAGUAAAUACUAGUAAUGAAUGCUAUAAAUAAAUCUAUGAAGUCCUUAGUCAUCUACUCGGCGUCUUCCUGUGGGAAGGGCUCAGAAACUAAGUCCUCCUGAUCUGAAAUAGUUAAGUAAGGAAUGAGCUACACUAGCCCAGUAAAGACAUCACACUAUCUCACUACCACAGGAGCAAAGGUUGGUAGAAAACAAAAACGACCAAUGGAGCAUAAUUUAUAACAAACUCAUUUAUCAAUAAUAAAAACCUUUACUGUCCACUUACCUCGGUGAGAUUCAUGAAGACAAUUUAUGAAACACAAUAACAUCAUAAACAUCAUAAAAUCAUGCAGACUCUGUAACAUAACACAUAUCAUACUCUCGUUUUUCAAUCAUCAGACAACAAUUUUCCUCUUUUAUCAGCCUACUAGUAUCCAUGAGGAUCCAUAGGGGGUCCCCGCUACACGU